GUUGGCCGCUUCUCAUUUGCAUAACCGCCCCCACAAUUUCCAUAAAUGCUCCCUUAAUUUGCAUAUUUCCCGCCCUCAGCCGGUUAAUGAGCUUCUCAUUUGCAUAAUUAAAGUUUCAUCGCUCUUUAUUGGUUUGUACAGACACGCCCCGCCCAAAGCAGCGCUUCAUUUGCAUAAACUCCGAUGGCCACGCCCCCUCCGUCAUCUCGGGGAGCCCAAAAUCUCCCAAAACCCCCAAAAAUGCCAAAAAAGUCCCAAAAAACCCUAAAAAGUCCCAAAAAUGUCCCCAAAGGAGCCCAAAUGUCCCCUCAAGGACCCAAAAAUGUCCCAAAAUGUCCCCAAGUGACCCCAAAAGGUCCCAAAAAUUUCCCCAGGGACCCCAAAUGUCCCAAAAAAGUCCCCAAAAUUCAUCCUAGGACCCCAAAAAUGCCCAAAAGAAUCCCCAAAAAGCCCCAAAAAUGUCCCCAGAUGUCCCCAAGUGUCCCCUCAGAAGUCCCAGGUGUCCCCAGGUGCCCCCAGAUGUGUCCCCAGGUGUGUCCCCUCAGAAGUCCCAGGUGUCCCCCGG
ensembl:lncRNA